CACGUAGGGGGCGAGCGUUGUCCGGAAUCAUUGGGCGUAAAGAGCUCGUAGGCGGCUCGGUAAGUCGGAUGUGAAAGCCCUCGGCUCAACCGGGGAAGUGCACCCGAAACUGCGUGGCUAGAGUCUCGGAGAGGAUCGUGGAAUUCCCGGUGUAGCGGUGAAAUGCGUAGAUAUCUGGAGGAAUACCGGUGGCGAAGGCGGCAUCCUGGACCAUUACUGACGCUGAGGCGCGAAAGCUAGGGGAGCAAACGGG
rnacentral:rRNA from 1 species